rnacentral:lncRNA from 1 species
AGGAGCAAUAUUGGUAGACAAUUUGACGAUCAACAGCUUUCAUGUAAUCACUGGCAGUUCAAGUGGAGAGUGGACUGCAGUGCUUGCUGAGUUCAAAAUAUCUAUAAAUGUAUACCUCAAACAGCUAGUUGCAUCUCCAAUUCGAUCCCUGUCAGAUGCAAUAGAAUUCAACAGAAAGAACUCAAAACUUGUGAGCAAUUAUCAUCUAUUAUGUUCUAAUUUUACAAUCAACAUAGCAAAAAGCGGACUAUCAUAACAUUGCAAUCUUGUCAUAAGUAGGAAAAGCUAAAGGAGUAUGGUCAGGAGUUAUUUCUAGAAGCAGAGGCAACAAAAGGAAUCGGAGGUGCAGAAAAGGCAGCAUUAGCCAGAUUAGCAAAACUGUCGAAAGAGGGAUUUGAGAGAUUGAUGAUUAAGAAUAAGCUUGAUGCAAUAGCAGCUCCUGGUCGGUUAAUCUCUCAUUUUCUUGCAAUUGGAGGUUUUCCUGGAGUUAGUGUACCAGCUGGAUAUAACCCUCAAGGGCUUCCCUUUGGCAUUGGCUUUGGAGGAUUAAAAGGGUUCGAGCCAAGGUUGAUAGAGAUUGCAUAUGGGUUUGAGCAUUUGACUAUGGGUAGAAAGUCCCCUUCACUUGGGAGACAUUAAAAGUGAUUCAACCACGGAUGAAAUUUUUUAGGACAGACUUUGAUAAGUUUACCAGAAGCAAUUAGAAUGGCAAUUGUUUAUCUUUAUGAUAAAGCUACACGCUUCAAUAAGUAGUAAAAUGUUUCCAUUAAUUUAAUACAUUCUCUUUUGAUAUUUUGGCACGUGAAAUGAACUGUACACUUGUUUAACUUGUCCAGAGGUUCUGUAGAAAGAACGACAUGCUCCAGUGAGUUAGCCAGCAAUGCAAUACGUAGCCUAAUGGUUCAAGAUUUACUGACCAAACAUUCAUUCAUCUACAAGCACUGAACAAGCAUCAACACUGUCUUUCACAACAACCAUCCCCCCUUGAGAUAAAAAACUAAUUUUAUUAUUCAAAUCGCUUAAAAAGAAACAACAUCUAUCUGUGGAGUUCAGGGUACUCAACAGCCACACAAUUCUUCCUCAUUCCAAACUUCAUUAUGGCUAAUUUCUCUAACUCUAGAUGAAGAAAGGAAGCCCUGCUAGUAAACCUGUUCUGCAUAACCUCUAACCAUCUUUUACAAUUAUGAGAAUUGAUCAUCAUUGAUCCUUCGUUCGUUUCUAAUGAACCUAGAUAUGUAUAAUUAAUAUGUUUCCCGAUCCAUAUGGAUCGUCUGCCAACAAAAUGCUGUUCUAUAUUGAAAGAGCCUUCAGCUAAAUCAAUAUCUCAUGCCCAUUAGUGUCUUUCCUAAAUUAUGCUCAGAUUGACCAACCUUUUUUCUUAUAACCAAAAUGAUAUUCAUUAUAUAAAUCCAUUUUCUCUACAAUGCAUUUCCAUCUUAUUAAGACAAAUUCACUUUUAACGCAUUUGCAUUUGCAUUGGUAAAAUGGAUUCAAAGACUGAGUUGGAAUUGACUUUCAACGGUAAUAUUGAUAUAGAAAACUCCAUGAAAGGAAGGCCAGAGGUGAAUCCAAGCUAUUGUUAACUUUCCAUUUCAAAAUAAACAUAAUUCAUAUUACAAAUAUAACAAAUUACAAAACUUCAUUACCAUUCCUAAUCAGCAGAUACAAUUAAAUUGCAAGAACCAUCGGUUUCAAUCACGCAGUAUAAGAAUCAAGAACCAGUUCCACAACAUUCAAUAUCAGGAAAAUGACAAGGAACAUGGAGAUUACCAAGCUAGCGAUGGGGGUUCUCGUCCUCUUCCUCUCCGCCAUAUCUGCGCGUUCCGAGUACUACUCCAAAACUGUCCCAAGGGUUCAGUUAAAGGAGAAGGUAACCAAUCUCCAUUUCUUCCUUUUCGACAUCCUGAGCGGGAAAAAAC